CCCUUAUCAUCAAUUCUAGGGUUUCAGUUGUUGAAUUCCUUUAUUUCUUUCUAACUUUGCAAAAAUUCAACUCAUGUAUGGACUAAUUUGAGUUCUACAGGAAGAAAGCUUGGACUUUUAGGGUUUCAGUAAUGUUUUCUGUUAUAAUUUAGGAGAAAGAAGCCUUGUGAUAUGUCAUUUCUCUUCUUUGUUGGGAGAAGCCUAUGAUUUAUGACCUGAGUUUUUUUUAUUUUUAAAUUGGUGGAUCUUUGAUGUUUUGUGAUGCUUGUGCUGGAUGGUAGCUUAUGAUAAUUAAUUGUUUUCAUGCAUUAAAUAUACAAGACUCGUGGUAAUACUUGUUUAGUAGUAGUAGUAGUUCCUGAUUCUUUAUAUCCCAUUGUGGUCAUUUAGCAGUGCGGAGGCAUUGUUAUGGUGCUAAACUUUAUGAACAAAAUAAAGUGUAAUAUGGAAUGAUAUUUUUCGUUCACCCUCAAGGUUGGUUGAUAACUUUAUAUUGUAGAGGAGCACUUGAGAAAAUUAAAAGAAUAAAAUUCAGAAAACAAAGUUUAUGGAAAAUGGGAAAUUGUCAUCAAAUUUUUAGUUGUAGUAUCUAAGUAAGAUCUGCGGAAAACAAAAUUCAGAUAUCAUUUCAUGGAGUAUAUAUCAAUUCAACGAACUAAAAAAGGUAGAUUUUAAAAUAAGCCAUAUGAAUACUUCCUCACCUGCUUGUAAAAAGGUUCCACCUAUUAAAGACUGGAUACUUGUCUUGAAAGCUGUGUUGCAUGGACGUGGAAACAUGUCCAAGUGCAUGAUUUGGCAAAAGGAAGAAAAGGAGACACGGGUAUAGACAAGAAAGAAUAAUUUUAACUAAUAUAUAUUUAAAUAUAAAAUUAUUCUAAUUAGCUGAAAUACCAAUAUGAGAAAAAAAUAAAAGGUACUAUUUGUAAAGGUCUUUCAAUGUGCAUGUUUUUCAUCCAAACUUUCUACUUAGCUGAAAGAUUUUAGAGAAGUGGCAUUCUAUGAAGUUAUUUUAAUACCUAUCUUGCUGAUGAAUCUCUAAAAAGAACAAAAGCUAGCUUGUAGAUUUUUUGUAGUGAGUUGAACUCAUUGGAGUCCAAGUCCAUACCAAUUCUUAAAAGCUUCAGUUAUAAAAAAAUAGAUAAGUAUCCAAGUGCCUAACUCUUUAACUGAUUUGGCUACAUAUUGACUAGGAUUCUAGGAGCUGGGACAUUAGUAUCUAGGUAACUCAUCUUGAAAUCUCUUUGAAUACUAGAUUGGAAACUAAUUGCUUGUCAGUCUCCUGUGUGCCUUGUAAUGGUAGAAAAAAGGUGGUACCAACUGUAUUUUCACCCAUCUUUGUUAUGUAAUUCCUUAAAAAUUGUGCACAUGGUUGUUCUUCAGUGUAGGCAAAACUAUUUGAAGAAUGGAAAAGUUAGAUCAUUAGGACUCAGAUCUUAUAAUAUUGGGCAAUAUUUUUUUAUUCAUUGGAAAAAGUUCAGCUCUGACCAUAUCCUUUAGCCUUACGGCACAUCAUUUGUAUCUAAACUUAAUUCUUCCAAUACAUUGAAAUUAAGUGAUCAAUUUACAUAUUCCAAGCCAAGUCAAUGAUUCGAAUUAUGUUUAGCUAUGGCUACUUGGUGGGAUAAAUUUGCAGGGUAGAUUGAGUGGCAUUUGAGCAUGCAAAUUUCACUUCAGGCAUGAGUUUGGAUGCUGCUGUUUGGAUUAAGACAAGUGUACCAAUGUGUAAAUCAUUUCUGUAACUGCUGAUCUUGCCUUGCAAUUCUCCAUCCUGAAAUGUGGUCCCUUGCCUGGUCCAUUUUGAUUUCUAUUUGAGUGCAGUUCCAUUGAUAGAUUUGACUGGGUACUUUUUUUUAUUAUUGACAUUGUUUUGGAUAAAUAUGAGCAUAAAACUCUUUUCCUUUAUACUUUCUCUUCUUUGAGGAUUUGGCAAGUUGGUUUCUUAUGCAUACAGAUGUUUAAAGCUAUCUUGGAAUUUCAAUCCCUGCCAAAGAAACCAUUGGUCCAUGUCUUUGGACUCUAGAUUUACUAUGAUAUCUAUUUGGCCUGUGAGGGUGAAUGACGUGGGCUUCCUAUGCUGUCUUUCUUUCCUCUAGCCUAAUAAGAUUACCACUUAGGAGGGGAAAAAUGCUUUACUCCUUGAUUUUAGAAGGGCUGCCAAGUAAUCUACAGUGCGAUCUACAUGCGUCAAAUGAUAUAGCUGCUGCUUUUAACUAUGUUCUUUCUCCCUGCAGUCAUCAGUAGGUUGAUAUUUAUCUGUAGUAGUUCAAGCAGAUCUUGCUGUUCCUUAACAUGCAGGAUGCUGAAACAUCAGCAAGAAAAGCUGAAGCAGCUCAAAAACGUCCAGAAGAUAUAGCUGCAGGAAUGGUGCAGAUGAAUGGCAGAGCUUUUCCUCGACCAACCUUGGGUCUUUGAUAAUGCUCGUUAUUGAGGUUCUUGAGGAAUGGGGAGCAGGUGUGAGUGCGGGAAGCGGAUAUUUGAAAAAAAAAACACUGGAAGUACGGAUGUGGUUAGAAAGCAGGUGCAGGUUCAAAGCCUGCGAAGAUUCUGAAGGGAGUGCAAUGCUUGAGAUAGAGGAUUCCUGCUAUGAAGGACCAUCACUUAAGGCAUUCUCUUGUGUCAGGAUGCAAUGAGUUCUGUCAAUGCAUGAGUGCAUAAAAACAAAUUAGCCUUAUUGUCAGUAUAACAGAGAACCCUCGUAAUCCUACAUGAGUACAUUCUUUUUCAUUAAGAUUAAUUAGGACCAUUGCUGGCCAAAAAAAAAUGCAAAAGAAUUACGUUGCUGAACAAAA